AUUGAAAGCUGGCGGCAGGCCUAACACAUGCAAGUCGAGCGGAGCGGCGGACGGGUGAGUAAUGCCUAGGAAUCUGCCUGGUAGUGGGGGCUAACGUCCGGAAACGGGCACUAAUAACGCAUAAUAUCCAAUUAGCAUAGGUCGGAUUAGCUAGUUGGUGGGGUAAAGGCUUACCAAGGCGACGAUCCGUAACUGGUCUGAGAGGAUGAUCAGUCACACUGUAACUGAGACACGGUCCAGAGUCCUACGGGAGGCAGCAGUGGGGAAUAUUGGACAAUGGGCGAAAGCCUGAGCCAGCCAUGCCGCGUGUGUGAAGAAGGUCUUCGGAUUGUAAAGCACUUUAAGUUGGGAGGCGUUACCAACAGAAUAAGCACCGGCUAACUUCGUGCCAGCAGCCGCGGUAAUAC
rnacentral:rRNA from 1 species